AACGAAAUAGUGAUGCAGAUACUUUUGUUUUCCGCAGAUGCUACGCUUCAUCAAUGUUUUGUGUUGUUAUCGUUUCGCCGCCGCCGUAGUUGCCGAUGCCGUUCGUUGGCUUAAAGGCAACAUAGUUGAUUUUGAUUUAAAAAUACAUUAAAUGUUUAUUUAAUAAUAAAUUAAAAAAAUAAUAAAAACAAGCAAAACAAAUCUUUACAAAAAAUAAACUUGUUUCGUGAUAAGAUAUACAAAAAGAUACUUAGAUACAAAUCAAACACAGGUGUCUCCUUAUAGUGAUAAAUUAAAAUCUAUCUAUGUUUUGCUUCAUCACCUCCAAUAUACAUACUUUCUGAUUUUCUGAUGAUAUAGUGAUUUUCAUGAAAUAUAAAAAUCAUCUGUUGAUUUAAUUUAAAGAAAGAAAAACGAAAAAAUUCCGAUACAAAAGUUUACAGAUACUUUAGCAGGUCGUCAAUUAACGGUGGCGAUCAAAAGUGAUAAAAGUAACCGGCCGUAAGUAAUAAAUGGCCAAUGGGUGCGGUAUUUAAUUAAUAUUUAUACAAAUUUGAAUUAAUCACCAUUCAUUGAUCCAUAACUCUAUACCAACUUUAUGUGUGUGUACUCAUAUGUGAUGUGCAGUAAUUAUUGAAUGCAAUGGACCAGGUCCGUCCGUCGUCAGUCCGUUUCUCGGCUUUAGUUUUCGGUUCCUUUUACGUACCGUACAUACGUACAUAUAUAAAAUAAUUGCUUCCUCCGUCAUCAUACAAAUACGCACGUUGCUGAAUAAACAAGGAAAUUGAUUAUUGUUUUUGUAAUGAAAUGAGAGUUAAACAGGAAACAAUAAUACAACAUACGAAGAAGAAAAACCCUCUACUUACCUGCAUAUAUAAAACAUAUGUACCUACGUUUACAUAGGCUUAUCUCCUUUGGGAAAGGAUUUCCGGACCCAACUAUAUAGCUAGCCAGUGCAAUCUAUACCCAACUUUUACUCCAAAGGCCAUUCGGAUCCUUUAGCUGUAUAUUUAUUAAUUCAAGCUCGGAAAAAAACAACAACACAAUAUCGGUGCUACUGUUUACUUAAUUAAACAAUGAAAAUGUCGAAAAAAACACUUCAACAACAAUUUGACAGAAACACCAAUAGCGAAAAAAUCAACAACAAGAACAACAACAUCGACGAAGUCAACAUCGGAGAAAAACAUCAAAAUGAAGUUAAACAAAGGAAAAACAAAUAAUAAGCGUGUGUAAUAUUUCUAUUGACGCGAAGAGCGACAACGACGCGACCCGCAACAACGGUAACGACAACCGAGACGACAAAGUGACAGAUACUUUUGCGUAUAUUGCACGAUUAAAAUUAGACAACGUUGAAAAAAAGUAUCUACAGGUUUUUCGUAUUUUGUUGUUUUAUAUUUGGUUCGUGAUUGUGCUCCGUGUAGCCGUUGUAUGUAUCUCAUAAUUAUUGUUAUUCUUGUGGUCCAAUUCGAAUCCAAAGUUCCUCUGAAUACGGCCUCGAGCGGUUUUAAUAAAAACAAAUUUCCUCCCCCAAAUACCGUUUUGUGAUACAGACAUAUAAGCUGAAACCAUAUUCUACGACUAGGAAUUAAGAGGCGGCAAAUAUUGUUUUUAAUUAAAGAAAAAAUGAAAAACGAACAAAAACUUUUUAUCGCGAUUAGUGCGAAGUUAUAAAUUCAGAAUUUGAAUUUUGAAAUGAAAAUUAAUCCUUUGGAUAUUUGUAUACCUACAUCUAGAAUACCCUACCCAAUCCCAUACCAAUACGUAACUGUGUGAUUUCUAAACUCUGUGAAUCCGGCCAGAACAAAGAAAGAUAACGAAAGGAUAUGUUAUAUCCUUUCUAUGUCCAUACCUACAGUACAUCUCACCCGGAAUGAGUGUUCAUGAACUUUUAGUGUGAUUGGAAUAUUUUUUGUGGAAUAAAAAUGGAAAAUUUAGAUUUUAAUGAGUUGGCGCGAUUAGUUGCCGAUGCCGAUGGCAGUGAAAUUAUGCGCUCAGAAUUUGUCCGAGCAGCUGUUAAUAAAAGUGCUGAAAUGCAAUGUUUGCUGCAGCAAGCCGAAGAGAACAAGGAUGCGAACAAUGUUCUUGGAUGUCCGAUAUCUUUUGAUUCAGUACUGUGUUGGCCAAGAACACCUCCAGGUAUUUUGGCCAUUUUGCCGUGUUUUGAAGAGUUCAAAGGCAUCCAGUAUGAUAGCACACAAAAUGCAACAAGGCUGUGCUUCAGUAAUGGAACGUGGGCCAACUACACCAACUAUGACAAAUGUCACCAUGCACCUCCGUCACCAAUUCCAGACUUCUCCCCAAGCAUAGAAUUGCCAUCACUUAUCUAUUGUUCGGGAUAUUUUUUAAGUCUAUUAGCUUUAACUUUAGCCUUAAUUGUUUUUCUUUACUUUAAAGACUUAAAAUGCCUUCGGAAUACAAUCCAUGCGAAUUUAUUUUUAACAUAUAUUUUAUCAGCCCUCUUAUGGAUUUUAACAUUAUUCCUUCAAGUUAUGACGGAUCAUCCCAGCCAGUCAGGAUGCAUAACCUUAGUUGUACUUUUUCACUACUUCAAUUUAACGAAUUUCUUUUGGAUGUUUGUCGAAGGACUCUACCUAUACACCCUUGUGGUGCAGACAUUUUCCAGCGAUAAUAUUUACUUUGCGAUGUACGCGUUCAUUGGAUGGGGAUGCCCAGCGGUUAUAGUGAUUGCGUGGUCAGUAGCUAAAAUCUAUUCCCCUCCACUUGAGACUGAAAGAUUUAAUGGGGUAAGUCCGUUGAUUGGUUCAUUGAAGCUGGAAAUCGAAUGCUCAUGGAUGCGAGAGUCCCACAUCGAUUGGAUAUUCCAGGGACCAGCAUCCCUUGUUAUUUUGCUGAAUUUGAUUUUUCUCUUUAGGAUCAUGUGGGUACUUAUCACAAAACUGCGGUCAGCUAAUACCCAAGAAACCCGUCAAUACCGUAAAGCUUCAAAGGCCUUACUCGUCCUUAUACCAUUGCUAGGAAUAACAUACUUGCUGGUUUUGUAUGGACCCGAACAUGGUCUGGAACGGCACGUUUUUGAAAUUCUAAGAGCUCUCCUCAUUAGCACACAGGGAUUUUCCGUUUCCUUUUUCUACUGUUUUCUAAAUUCUGAAGUGAGACUAGCGCUGCGACAUCGAUUCGAACGAUGGCAUGAUGCAAGGAAUAUAAGUUCGGAACAAUCAAUGCGAAAUAGAAGAUACAGAUUCUCGAAGGACUACUCCCUACGAUCAAGAACUGAAAGUUUACGGUGAGGGGAUCAUAUACAUAUAUUUUUUUUUUCAACAAAAAAAAAAUAUUUUUUAAUGAAAUAAACAAUUUGCUCGUGAUACCCUUCAUUAUAAUUAUGUUCUUACAUCAACAAGUCCUGUGCCCACAUCAAACAAUGAAUAAUAAAUUUUGCACGAGAUUUUAUUCCUAUAAAUAAAUCUUAAUGUUAAUUCCUUUUUUUUAAUAAAUCUUACUCUAUUUUAUAAUUAUGAGAAACUGGUCCAUAUUAUUGCUAAACAUGUAUUUAGCUAAUAAUUUACAUAUAUUUUUUUAAGAAGAUAAUGUUGCUUUUAUUUAUAUUUUUAGUAUUUUUUACUACCUAAAUAGGAAACAUAAGUAUUUUUGUAUUCUUAUUUUAAUAAUCUAAUUUAAUUAAAAAAUUCAUAUUUUAUUACUAAUGUAAAUAGUAAUUCCUUAAAAUUGAUGUAUUUUAAAUUAAAGAAACUAAAUUCAGUAAUUUUCUACUUUUUACAUAAAAUAUUAUAAAACUUACGCAUUUGUAUAGAUGUAAAAUUAUUUUUAAAUAUUUUUAUUAUAAUAUAGAUAUAUUUAAU